rnacentral:lncRNA from 1 species
AGAGUAUUUUCUAUCGAAAAAUUCAUUUUCUGACGCAGACAAUUCCGUCGCUUAUUAUAUCUGUCACUGCAUCCAUUUUCUGUCGGAUUUUAAGCAAAAUCCGACAGUAAUAUACGUUUUUUGUCGAUUUUUGAACCGCCAGUUAUAGUUAAUUUUGUAGUAGUGAUAGUCCGAGCUAUCUAUUUUACUCUCUUUUCUUCCAUACUAAAAAACCCUAGCCGUUCUAUACACUUCCACUAUCCACCAAAGAAACCAUGCAAUUGCGUUGUACUUGAAGGAGUUCUACAUCAGAAUUGCUUCAAGGGGUUUCUUCUAUGAAUUUGAUUGUACUCAUGCUGUUCUUCAUAUUUACAUAAAUUGCGAUCAUGCUGUGUAAUUAAGUUCAUAACUAGGGUUUUCGAUGUAAUUUUGCAAAACUAUUCUUUGUUAUACUAAGUUAAAGUUUUGAAGUUUCCAAUGUGUUUUUUGAUAAGCUCAUAUUUAUAUAUAUUUUACAUCAAAUUCACUGUCUUUUCUUAGUUAGUUCCUUAUAUUUUUGAGCUAUUUACUUUGUUUUUGUGUUUUGUAGGAUUUGUCAAGCAGAGAAAAGAAAAAUAGCACAAGUGGGAUUUUAAGUAACAAAUUCGUCAAAACUGCCUGUGCAGAUCAGCUGACUUUGGAAGCAAGUUGUGGAUAGUUCAGAAUGAAAUAAAGAAUGAACCUUAUAUGCUUGGAAAGCUACGGAUGUCUAUUUUCUGGAGCAUUUCGCGGAUUGCUAAUAUCAUUUUUCUAGAAGAAGUUAUGACCGUUUUAACACUGAAAGGUUCCUAAGAGGCUGAGCAGUUUGUAACUAAAAGCAAUAAAUCCAAUAAAUCUAGCAGCCAAAACUGAUGCAGUCAAGAACAAGUCAGCUGACACCUAUUCAAAUAUCAGAGGAAAUGGAAAUAAAGAUUAGAAUUAAGUGGGAGUAAUGGGCAUAAAGGCUACCUAAAGAGUUACAAUUGUUUUACCAUUUCCUCUCACUCAUUGUCAUCACUAAAUGACUGUUAGUGGGGUGAGUUAUGGAGAAAAAACUGUGGUAUCAAGCAAGAAUAAAAAGGUGUAGGUUGCAGCGGCAAAAGAAAAGAAAAAAGAGAGAAAAAAAGAAAAAAAAUUGGAAAGGUGCAGCUGACGAAAAUGGGAGGGAAGAAAGCAAGGCAUCAAGAAGUUAGACGAGGAAGAAGGUAGCAGCAUUGGAGAAGGAAGGAAAGAAGAGGAGGCCUCAGUCGAUUUCUUUUGGUUCUAUCUUCUCAAACUGAUGUCUAUCUUUUGUUUUUAUUAAGGAUUGUGUGCAACUAAAUUUUUAGUAGUUAGGGGCUGUUUUGAUGCCCCAAAUAUGAUUGCAAGUUUGUUAUGACAUUUCGUUGAAUUACUUUUAUGAAUGGAUGAAAAUUGGUUCACUACUUGUCUCAUUGAUGAAUUCUUUAUGUGUUUUCUACGGAUGCAUACUUAGUAAGCAUAUCUAGGAUUCUAAUGCUAUGAAUAUGUGUGUGCCUACCCUUGUCGAAUGAGGACCUAUAUAUGUUCUAGAGUAGUAUUUGUUAAUUGCGAUUAACAUGCGAACCAAUUUUUAGGAUAACUAAGACAACGCUAGUACUUACAAUGCCUUGUGAUGACUCAAACUCUUUUUGUUCUUAAUGAUUUCUACUUGUUAAAUCUAUGAACACGCCAUUAUAGAUUGCAUGCUAGGGACUAAGUUAAGUUGAAAACGCCAUUCUCUUAACAUACUACAUAAGAAAGAGUAAUAGGUUGAGUUCUAACAUUGAGCCAAUUUGAGCAUCUUCAUUCGGAAAUAAAGGGAAUUUGAAUGAAACAUAACAUGUUUGCAUGAUUAGUUGGUAGUGGAUAGCAAUUCCCCUAACUCGUUUUUCUUAAUUUGUGAACUAUUUAAAAUUUGUUUCUGUCCUAUUUUUGUUCAAUUUAAUUUAAAUAGAAAAUCAACUCCAAAAAUCCCAAAUAUUUGUAUGUGUGUGGCUCUGUGUGUCUAGUGUCUUCUUAUAAAAUUUCGUAGACUUUAGAUAAGUGUAAGUUGGUCUAAUAAUUAUUUUUCGGUGGUUGGUCAGUAGGGACAGCAGCCCAGUUUUUGUGACAUUUUAAGUAGUUAGAUAAAACAAUCUUCUGCGGGAAAGAUCCUUAUUUUCAUAUUCUGCAAUUGACAAAUCUUAGCUUUAAUAAGGAAAAUCAAUAGGACAUUUGUGUGCUACUUUGUGGUGUACUUUUAAUUCUAUCAUUUUCUUGUGUUUUUUCACUGAGCUUAUAUCUUAAUUGAUAUUUUUUUUUUUUUUUUUUUUUUUUUAUGUUUGGUCAACAACCAUUAAGAUUGCUUAUUAGUUAUUUAAUCAAGGUUACGCUACAUGCUUAAUAUUUGUGGACAUGUGAAUGAAUGAAGAAACUACUAUGCAUACAUCCUUCUCUUUUCAAAUAAUUGACUUAUACAUCAUAGGUUCAUUGGUCAAACCCUCAUUUUUCAGGACGUGAGGAUUUUGGUCUUAACCAAAUGUGUAAUUUAUUUCGUAGAAACAACUUCGCCAAUUCUGAAGACGACAAAUUUUUGCUGCCACAAUAUUUAAUGAGAGAUUAUAUUCACACACCCCCAAAUUACUUAUCUCACACCUUUUAAAUUUUUUAAUAUUUUCUACACACCACUAACACUUAGAGAAAAAUAUUAAAAAUUUAAAAGGAUAUGGAAAAAGUAAUUUGAGGUGUGUGAAUAUAAUCUCCCUAUUUAAUAUCUUUGGAAUUCGCAUUUUAUAUUGUACAAUGCGAUUAAGCUCAUGCAAGUUACCAAGGUAAUAUAUAUAUAUAUAUAUAUCUCUAUAUUUUAAUUCAAAGCAUACAUAACUCACAUUGUUAUAAAAAUGUAAAAGUUAUAGAGAGAUAACCUUUAUUCGGGACAGGAACGAAGCAGUUGCAGAGUAUUAUACCAACACAAGCUGUUGCAGAGGAAGUAAUGUAUAUUAUUGCUAUUAGAUAUUUUUCUCUUCCUUUUUCUCUCUACUUUGUUGAACAUUCGUAAAGCUCUAUUUAUAGAGCAUCACCAUGGAAACAAACAAAACACUGUUAAACAUAUGACAUGUUUACUGUAUGCAUGUGGGCAUACAUAUUAUACUAUUUACAACACUCCCCCUUGGAUGCCCACAUAUCAACAUCAGUUGCCUCAUUAAAACCUUGCUUGGAAAAACCCUGUGGGAAAAAAACAUAGCGAAGGAAAAAGAGUACAACUUUAUUCGGAUGGUGUUGAGCAUGCUUAUGUUGCCUCGUUAAAACCUUGAUAGGAAAAACCCAGUGGG